AAAGAAAAUUACGCAUACAAAAGGAGUUCGUAAGAAUGGUCAAACUGUACGCUGUAAGUUUGUUUUACAAAACCACAAACGAGACACGUUUACUAAAAUUUGAUUACGACCGAAUAAAGUUCUCAGGUUUCCACUAUGAUUCGAUACUAGAAUAUAUCAGUCUGCCAAGCAAAAUACUAAUCGAGCGAACACAAACGAAUACAAGUCAACCAGUAAAGCAGGACGAGUUCAUAUGUCACGUGUAUGUGAGAACGAACGGCUUAGGUGCUGGUUUGGUAUCCGAUCACGACUACCCGGUUCAAGUGGCACACGUUAUACUGUCAAACGUAAUCGAUACCUUAAGUACGAAAGUCAGUAAACAGCAGUGGUUUGCUAGCAGUGAUUUUACAGCCGAUUUUACACUUGCGCCUCUAAUGACGAAGUACGCAGACUCACGAGCAAUCGAUGCUGUUAUUCUGAUGCUAGAAAAUCAGGAUGAGACGAAAAUUAAUGUACGUAUCGCAAUGGAAGAUAGCGAAAAAUUCGAUGCUGAAGCACUAUUAAGCGGGAAGUUUUCCGAUACAGUGGAUUGUGGUAAUAAAGAACUCUCGAUAAGCGCUAAACCUUUCAGAGCCAAUACUCCACUUGCGUGCUGCAGCGUUUGCUAGGUGCACUCAUUAUAAUUUCAACGUAGAAGCCAGAUAUGUAUAUUAUUGGUUAAUUUGCAACUCUAGAGCGAGUCACACUUCAGCUGUGGUACCAUGAGGACGUGUUCUUAGUUCUGUUAGGAACUGUUAUCUAUUUGCAAUAAUACUAAAAGUCUAGCUUAUUUUCCGUCGGUCUAGCUCCGCCAUUGUUGUUGUGCUAGUCACAGAGGCCCGGGGUGGCGAAACUCCACUCAGGACCCUAACUUACGACCCGGCAAUUAACAGACCGGCACCAACGGCUUAGACCAGUUGAGUUGAUUGUGAGUGGAUCACGCCACCCUACAACCAUCGGCACCUAUUUCGGCGUUGGGAUUCGAACUCAGGCCACCAGCGUGGUUUGCGGAGAUUUUACCAGCUACGCUAGACCCCCGUCAUACUCUAAAAUAUAUAUUUUCAGGAGUAUGCUGUUUUGAACUAAAAUGGUUAUCAAAAUGUCAAGAUUACAAAUGCACUUACUACUAGCUGAUACCCGGCCCGCGUUGAUGCGCCAUUAAGUUUACGAUGACAACCGCAUACCUCUUAAAUGUACAUCAUUUCAAACAAAUGAUAGCAUUACCAUGCUAUA